GGGCCGGUAGCGUAGCGGAAGCGCGCCCGCCUCGCACGCGGGAGGUCGCGGGUUCGAGUCCCGCCCGGUCCA
rnacentral:tRNA from 1 species